rnacentral:miRNA from 1 species
CCAGGCAUGGUGUGGUGGGGCAGCUGGUGUUGUGAAUCAGGCCGUUGCCAAUGAGAGAACGGCUACUUCACAACACCAGGGUCACACCUCACCACGGG